UACGGAGGGGGCUAGCGUUGUCCGGAAUCAUUGGGCGUAAAGAGCGUGUAGGCGGCCCGGUAAGUCUGUUGUGAAAGUCCAGGGCUCAACCCUGGAAUGCCGAUGGAUACUGCCGGGCUAGAGUUCGGAAGAGGCGAGUGGAAUUCCUGGUGUAGCGGUGGAAUGCGCAGAUAUCAGGAGGAACACCGAUGGCGAAGGCAGAUCUCUGGGCCGUAACUGACGCUGAGGAGCGAAAGCAUGGGGAGCGAACAGG
rnacentral:rRNA from 1 species